rnacentral:rRNA from 1 species
UACGUAGGGUGCAAGCGUUGUCCGGAAUUAUUGGGCGUAAAGAGCUCGUAGGCGGUUUGUCGCGUCGACUGUGAAAACUGGGGGCUUAACUCUCAGCUUGCAGUUGAUACGGGCAGACUUGAGUUCGGUAGAGGAGCGUAGAAUUCCUGGUGUAGCGGUGAAAUGCGCAGAUAUCAGGAGGAAUACCAGCGGCGAAGGCGGCGCUCUGGGCCGGUACUGACGCUGAGGAGCGAAAGCGUGGGGAGCAAACAGG